UAAACUCUAAUUUGUAUGCAGUUGGAACGUCUGCCCACGUUUGCCGCUAGGGGCGCUGUUCUAACUGCAAACAAAUUUGAACUA
rfam:Bombyx mori DNA, contig: Bm_scaf46_contig25042, strain: p50T/Dazao, build 2, whole genome shotgun sequence.